rnacentral:lncRNA from 1 species
AAAGAUGACUGAUUUUUGCGUCUGUCCCAAGUGAGGAACCUUCGGCCUUUGUUAGUCUUGUAUGAUUUUUAAUUUUAAUUUCUUGUGUAUAUUUCGGAGUUAAGUAUGAAACUUGACUAUACACAAGAAAGUAUUCUUGUUAACAACUUUACUUGAUAAUUUAACCGGAAUUAAUUUCUGCUCGAGUAUUGCCGCCGAGAAAACUACA